AAUUUUGUACAAUGGGGGAAACCCUGAUCCAGCCAUCCCGCGUGUAUGAUGAAGGCCUUCGGGUUGUAAAGUACUUCUGUCACAGAAGAAAAGGUAUCCCCUAAAACUGGAUACUGCGCACGGUCUCUGCCCAAUAAGCAACGGCUAACUACGUGCCAGCAGCCGCGGUAAUACGUAGGGUGCAAGCGUUAAUCGGAAUUACUGGGCGUAAAGCGUGUGUAGGCGGUUCGGAAAGAAAGAUGUGAAAUCCCAGGGCUCAACCUUGGAACUGCAUUUUUAACUGCCGAGCUAGAGUAUGUGAGAGGGGGGUAGAAUUCCACGUGUAGCAGUGAAAUGCGUAGAUAUGUGGAGGAAUACCGAUGGCGAAGGCAGCCCCCUGGGAUAAUACUGACGCUCAGACACGAAAGCGUGGGGAGCAAACAGG
rnacentral:rRNA from 1 species